rnacentral:rRNA from 1 species
GACGAACGCUGGCGGCGUGCUUAACACAUGCAAGUCGAACGGAAAGGCCCUGCUUUUGUGGGGUGUUCGAGUGGCGAACGGGUGAGUAACACGUGAGUAACCUGCCCUUGACUUUGGGAUAACUUCAGGAAACUGGGGCUAAUACCGGAUAGGAGCUCCUGCUGCAUGGUGGGGGUUGGAAAGUUUCGGCGGUUGGGGAUGGACUCGCGGCUUAUCAGCUUGUUGGUGGGGUAGUGGCUUACCAAGGCUUUGACGGGUAGCCGGCCUGAGAGGGUGACCGGCCACAUUGGGACUGAGAUACGGUCCAGACUCCUACGGGAGGCAGCAGUGGGGAAUAUUGCACAAUGGGCGGAAGCCUGAUGCAGCAACGCCGCGUGCGGGAUGACGGCCUUCGGGUUGUAAACCGCUUUCGCCUGUGACGAAGCGUGAGUGACGGUAAUGGGUAAAGAAGCACCGGCUAACUACGUG